UUUGCCAGUUUCCCUGCUGGUUAAUGGUUAGAGGGGGGACAGUGGCCUUUACCGUUCGGUGGUCCCCACCCCCCAGUCGUUAGCCAAUGGGAGGCUGUUCAAGAAAUUUAAGUAAACACAGCAAUGUACAAAUCAACUUUCUUCUGAAGUUUUAUUUUUUAAUAUCAAAAUGUGGCUGGGGUUGCGACAGUGUUUGUGGUCACCCUGCGGCAGCUGGCAGAGAAGUCACAGGUGCCCUUAAUAAAGAGCCAAGCCACGGACACCUGUGGAAAACCCGACAUGCGGCUGCAGCUGGGGAUAAAGCAGGGGAGCCCUGCCCUCCAGGGGGCCUCAGUUUGGUGGGAGAGACAGACGUGUGACAUCUCCAAGGGUCCCCGCGGGUGACCUCUCUUGGUAUUCACAGAGCUCCUGUGAAUGAAGUGCUGUGGUCACCCUUCUUCAGAUGAGGAAAAUGAGGUGCACGGAGGUGACUCAUGUAAUGGUUCUGUUAGAAGGACUAUGUGGGGACACCACAAAGAGGGAGAGGAGAGCAGCUGAGUCUUACCUUCCAGGUUCCUGCCAACGUGCCACAGAGGAGUGAAGUCAUCUUGGAGAAGUCAGACCUGACAGCCCCACUGAGUACUUUUGAGUGGUCCCGGUUGAUAUCAUGUGGUCUAGAAGAAUCACUCAGUACCAAAUUCCUGACCUAAAAAUUAUGAGUAAUAGCAAAAUUGUUCUUUAAGCUGCUGAAGUUUGGAAUCAUUGUUAUAUAGCAACAGAUAACCAAAAUAAAAUUUUUAGGUUGUAUAGUUUGCUUUAGUAAAUGCUGCCGGUUCUUCAAAAUGAUUAAACGGAUUUAUGCAUCUAACAAAAGGGUGAGAGAGAUAUAAUUGCUUCACAGUCUUGCUGAUAAUUAAUGCUGCCAUAUUUUCAAUUUAGCCAUUUUGGUGUGUAGUGAUAUCACAUGAAAGUUUCAGAUUGUGUUUAUUUGAUGACGAAUGAGGUUGGUUACCUUUUACUAAUUUCCCUUGUCCAUUGGAGGUGUUCUUUAACAACACUUUUCCAGAUAGAGGUAUAGGCAUCACUCAUGAAAGGGGAACAUUCUGUGAAAUAUGUUGUUAGUGACUUCAUUGUUAUGUGAACAUAAGAGUAUACCUAAUGCAAAUGUAGGUAGCUGUGAUGUCCUAGGCAAUACAAUCUUAUGGGACCACUACUGUAUAUAUGAUCUACCAUUGACCAAAACGGUGUUAUGAAUAUCAUUGUGUAUGUGAGAAUGUAUGUGGAAAGCAAAAUACCUUCUCUAAGUUUGUGGCUUAUCUUUUCACUCUCUUACUGGAAUAUUUUGAUAAAAAUAGUUCAUAACUUCAUUGAAGUCUAAUUCAUCCAUUUUCUUUUAUAGUUAAUGCUACUUUUGUCCUAUUUAAGAAAUAUUUGCCUACUUUAAUAUUGAGAAGGAUUCUCUUAUAUUUUCUUUUAAAGGCAUUAUAGAUUUAAAUUUCAAUUUAUCUAGACUCGAUUUUCAAAUAUGGCGUGAAGUAGAGUUCAAAUAUAUCUCUCUCCAAAUGUAUGUUGGCACCAUUUAAUGAAAAUAGAAAUUGUGUUCUUUAAAAAUGUCCCUAGUGGACUGGGGAUGUAGCUCAGUUGGUAAUGCUUCCCUUGCAUGCACGAGGCCCUGGGUUCAGUCCCCAGCACCACACACACACACACACACACACACACACACAACACACGUCACUAUCUGAUUCCUGGCUUCCAUGAGCUGAGCAGCUUUAUUUCUCAUGCCUUCCCACCAUGUUCUGCCUCGCCUGGGGCCCAGAACAAUGGAGUUGGUUGACCAUGGACUGAACCUCUGAAACUAUGAGCCCAAAGUAAACUUUUGCUCCUCUAAGUUGUUCUUGAUAGAUAUUUUGGUCACAUCAAUGAAAAACUGACCAACACAGAAAUUGGUUCUAAGACACGGGUUUGUAGCUGUGACAAUAUCUGACCAUGUGGUUCAAAAGACGUUAGUACAGGUUUGCAGGAAGAGUUUGGAACAAUUUGGAGAUGCAGGCUAGAGAAGACUUAGAAUGCUGUAUGCAGAGCUUAAUGGGAGAUUCUGGUGUAAGCUCAGAAGACCAGAAUGCUGAUAUGAUUGUGAACGGUAAAGACUGUGCUCAUGAGAUUUCACUGGGGAAUGGGGACUUUGUUGGGAAUUGAACAAGAGGCCAUUUUGAUACAUUCUGGCAAAGAACUUGUCUACAUUUUGUCCAUGUUCUGAGACUUUGUUGAGGCCAAGUUUAAAGGUAAUGGAUUAAUCUGGUAAAGACAAAUUCAAGGCAGAAUAGCACUCAGGCAAUGGCAUGGAAGUAGCUAUCAGCUUUUAGACAGAUUUACUGUUGCAAUUGGGAGCAGAAAGCAGAAAAGAAAGAUUUAAAAACUCAAAGUUUGGUCAGAAAAAUGCAUGUAAAACUGGGGCCAGGGAUGUUGUUGCUAAAGAGAUUACCACCAUUAAAGAGAAGCUAAGCAUUUUGCCCAGAGACAAUAGGAAAGUUGUCUUGAAGGAAUCUCUAGAAUAAGUAAGAUCAUACCAUUGCAGGCUCAAGGGUGUAAAUGUGAAAAUUCAUUUGAGGAGAGACAAUGGGGGUACCCUGCUUGCACAGAGGUGCCCAGGAGGUUGUUUUCCAAUAUUUGUCUCAUGAUGCUUAGUUUCCUGGGCACUCAGAGGCUGUUGCAGCUAUGGUCAAAGGUAGUGUGUCUAGUGUUCAGUUUGGUGGCUGACCUUGACAUUGUUCACAGGACACUGGUUCUGCAGGAAUGCAGGAUGCUGGAGUUAUGGGGUUAUGGAAGCUCUCUCCAAUAUUCCAAAGGAAGGCCUAGAAGGUCAGGUAGUGUGCAUGAGGGUUGUAGUACCUGCAUGAGGCCCCCAAGGGAGCAAUGCAUGAAGCUGUGAGAAUGAAGCCAAAGCUGAAAUGGAGACCACAGGGCUUAAGAGAUGCCAGGAAGGUGGGACAUCUGCUGAAGAAAGCUGCAGCAGGGGAGUAGAGCCAGGCCCAGAGAGAGGCCAUGUGGGAUGCAGCUGGAAAGGCCAUCAGACCAGGGCUGCAUAUGUCCUUUGGGGAUUGCAUUUCACCACCAUGUUUUGCAGAUGCUGGGUGUGAUUCUACUGCAUUUGUUUGCCCACCUGGGUUUCGGUCUUGUUUUAGUCCUACCCCUUCUAUCUCUGUCCAUAUUCCACCCUUUUGAAAUGGGAAUGUUUACUCUUUGCCAUUGUAUAUUGGAGCUUGCUUUUAAUUUUUACAGGGGUUCACAGCCAAGGGUUUGUCUUGAGCCUCAAAUGAUACUUUGGACUUAAACUUGAGCAAUAGUGGGAUUGUUAAGACUAUGGUGAUUCUUGGAGAUGGAAUGCCUUUUGUGUCGUAAGAUGGGCAUGUGUUUUUGGGGACCAGGGUGGAAUGCUAUGGUUUGAAUGUGAGGUGUUCCCCCAAAAGCUCAUGUGUUAGAUAAUGAAAAAAUUUUCAGAAGGUAAAUGAUUAGAUUAUGAGACAUGUAACCUCAUCAGUGGAUUAAUCCACUUUAUGGAUUUAUUAUUUGAAUGGACUUCUGGGUGGCAACUGUAGGCAUACCUGGAGGAAGUGGGUCACUGGGAGCAUUAUAUCUUGAAUAUGGCUCCUCACUCUCUCUCUCUCUGCUUCCUGGCUGCCAUGAACUGAGCAGAGAUCCUCUACCAUGCCCUUCUGCCAUAAUGUUCUGCCCACCUUUGGCCCAGAUCAGUGUAGUCAGCUGACUAUGAACUAAAUCUCUGAAAGCAUGAGUUCAAAAUAAAAUUUUCCUUCCUCUACAAAGAAUGUUAGUAUCAUAAAAGAAAAUAAUAUGUUACCCUAUUAGAGGAGACUAAAGAGACACAACAUCUGUGAUGCUGUGAUUUCUGAGAAGGAGGUGGUCCUUUUAAAGGGCUUUGUCAAGAAGCUCCUCCCAGGGAUUGGGAAGAUCCACUGAAAGUCCAGCAAAUCACCCUUGGUGACUUAUUAAAUGCAGAACCUAAGCCCUUUACAGAGGAAGCAUGAGUUGUGCUAUGGAGACAUUAUUGAGACAAUUGACAAAAUUGGAAUAUGGAUAGUAUAUUAGAUUCAUGACAAAUUUCCUGAAAUUGGUAGCUUUACUGAAAAAAUAAUAUCUUAAAAAUUUGGGAGCUAUUUACUGAGUUAUUUAAGGGUAAAGGAGUAUGAUGUAAAUUUAUUCAACAUAUUAUGAAAAGAUGCAAAUAUAUAUGCACACAUGUGUGUGUGUUGGGAGGGGAGUGUUUAUGGGACAAGAGGAAGGGCAUAUGGGUGUUUGUACUAUUUUUGUUCUUGCAACUUUUUAUUUCCAAAUAAAAUUAUUUCCAAACAUGAA